rnacentral:piRNA from 1 species
UGAGACAGAUGCGCGUGCAGAGG